UAGGACGGCCCCUAUCUAAAAUAGAAAUAUAAAGCAGAGUCCAUGAGGUCGCACUCGCUGUACCUGCCACUAAAGUUGGACUACAGAGAACAAUCUGAUCUCUUCUUUUCCACAUGUGAUGGCGCAUUGGUUUCCUUUCCCAUUGGAGCCAAGUUAACUAUACCGACGCUUCUCCACCCCACAGGGACAUUACUGAACAUGAAUCGUCAGUAACACAGUCUGUAUAAAACUCGAAGCAUCUCUGAAGCUACAAAAACAAAGACAUGAGAUCGAUGAACCAUGUGAAUCUUACAA